rnacentral:rRNA from 1 species
AAAGCGAUGGGGUGACGCAGGAAGGUAGCUGGGCCAGUCAGUGGUUGUACUGGUGUAAGAGUGUAGGCCGUGACAUAGGCAAAUCCGUGUCACAUUAAGGCUGAGACUUGAUGCAUACCCGUUGUGGGGAAUUCAGUGAUCCUAUGCUGCCGAGAAAAGCCUCUAGUGAGUUCACACACGGCCCGUACCCCAAACCGACACAGGUGAUCAGGUAGAGAAUACCAAGGCGAUCGAGAGAACUGUGGUUAAGGAACUCGGCAAAGUGCCCCCGUAACUUCGGGAGAAGGGGGACCAUGCCCGGUGAACAUCUUCACGGUGGGAGCUGGGUGUGGUCGCAGAGACCAGAGAGAAGCGACUGUUUACUAAAAACACAGGUCCGUGCGAAGACGUAAGUCGAUGUAUACGGACUGACGCCUGCCCGGUGCUGGAAGGUUAAGAGGACCGGUUAGCCGUAAGGCGAAGCUGAGAAUUUAAGCCCCAGUAAGCGGCGGUGGUAACUAUAACCAUCCUAAGGUAGCGAAAUUCCUUGUCGGGUAAGUUCCGACCUGCACGAAUGGCGUAACGACUUCUCUGCUGUCUCGACCACAGACUCGGCGAAAUUGCACUACGAGUAAAGAUGCUCGUUACGCGCGGCAGGACGAAAAGACCCCGGGACCUUUACUAUAGCUUGGUAUUGGCGUUCGAUUCGGUUUGUGUAGGAUAGGUGGGAGACUGUGAAGCAUGCACGCCAGUGUGUGUGGAGUCGUUGUUGAAAUACCACUCUGAUCGUAUUGGACGUCUAACCUCGGCCCAUGAUCUGGGUUAGGGACAGUGCCUGGUGGGUAGUUUAACUGGGGCGGUUGCCUCCUAAAGAGUAACGGAGGCGCCCAAAGGUUCCCUCAGCCUGGAUGGCAAUCAGGUGUUGAGUGCAAGUGCACAAGGGAGCUUGACUGUGAGACUGACACGUCGAGCAGGGACGAAAGUCGGGACUAGUGAUCCGGCACCGGCAAGUGGAAGCGGUGUCGCUCAACGGAUAAAAGGUACCCCGGGGAUAACAGGCUGAUCUUCCCCAAGAGUCCAUAUCGACGGGAUGGUUUGGCACCUCGAUGUCGGCUCGUCGCAUACUGGGGCUGGAGUAGGUCCCAAGGGUUGGGCUGUUCGCCCAUUAAAGCGGCACGCGAGCUGGGUUUAGAACGUCGUGAGACAGUUCGGUCUCUAUCCGCCGCGCGCGUAAGAAACUUGAGGAAGGCUGUCCCUAGUACGAGAGGACCGGGACGGACGAACCUCUGGUGUGCCAGUUGUUCCACCAGGAGCAUGGCUGGUUAGCUACGUUCGGAAGGGAUAACCGCUGAAAGCAUCUAAGCGGGAAGCCUGUUCCAAGAUGAGGUUUCUCACCACCUUGCGUGGUUAAGGCCCCCUACAGACCAUGGGGUUGAUAGGCCGGAACUGGAAGCGCAGCAACGCGUGGAGGUGACCGGUACUAAUAGGCCGAGGGCUUAA